rnacentral:rRNA from 1 species
GGGGGCAACCCUGAUCCAGCAAUGCCGCGUGUGUGAAGAAGGCCUUCGGGUUGUAAAGCACUUUUGUCCGGAAAGAAAUCGCGCUGGUUAAUACCUGGCGUGGAUGACGGUACCGGAAGAAUAAGCACCGGCUAACUACGUGCCAGCAGCCGCGGUAAUACGUAGGGUGCGAGCGUUAAUCGGAAUUACUGGGCGUAAAGCGUGCGCAGGCGGUUUUGUAAGACAGGCGUGAAAUCCCCGGGCUUAACCUGGGAAUUGCGCUUGUGACUGCAAGGCUAGAGUGCGUCAGAGGGGAGUAGAAUUCCACGUGUAGCAGUGAAAUGCGUAGAGAUGUGGAGGAAUACCGAUGGCGAAGGCAGCCCCCUGGGACGUGACUGACGCUCAUGCACGAAAGCGUGGGGAGCAAACAGGAUUAGAUACCCUGGUAGUCCACGCCCUAAACGAUGUCAACUAGUUGUUGGGGAUUCAUUUUCUCAGUAACGUAGCUAACGCGUGAAGUUGACCGCCUGGGGAGUACGGUCGCAAGAUUAAAACU